AUUGAACGCUGGCGGCAGGCCUAACACAUGCAAGUCGAACGGUAACAGGAAGAAGCUUGCUUCUUUGCUGACGAGUGGCGGACGGGUGAGUAAUGUCUGGGAAACUGCCUGAUGGAGGGGGAUAACUACUGGAAACAGUAGCUAAUACCGCAUAACGUCGCAAGACCAAAGAGGGGGACCUUCGGGCCUCUUGCCAUCGGAUGUGCCCAGAUGGGAUUAGCUAGUAGGUGGGGUAACGGCUCACCUAGGCGACGAUCCCUAGCUGGUCUGAGAGGAUGACCAGCCACACUGGAACUGAGACACGGUCCAGACUCCUACGGGAGGCAGCAGUGGGGAAUAUUGCACAAUGGGCGCAAGGCUGAUGCAGCCAUGCCGCGUGGAUGAAGAAGGCCUUCGGGUUGUAAAGUACUUUCAGCGGGGAGGAAGGGAGUAAAGUUAAUACCUUUACUCAUUGACGUUACCCGCAGAAGAAGCACCGGCUAACUCCGUG
rnacentral:rRNA from 1 species